GACGUAGGAGGCGAGCGUUGUCCGGAUUUACUGGGCGUAAAGAGCGCGCAGGCGGUCGUUCAAGUCGAGUGUGAAAGCCCCCGGCUCAACUGGGGAGGGUCACUCGAUACUGAUCGACUCGAAGGCAGGAGAGGGAAGUGGAAUUCCCGGUGUAGUGGUGAAAUGCGUAGAUAUCGGGAGGAACACCAGUGGCGAAGGCGACUUCCUGGCCUGUUCUUGACGCUGAGGCGCGAAAGCUAGGGGAGCAAACGGG
rnacentral:rRNA from 1 species